rnacentral:rRNA from 1 species
AACAUUAUGCCUGGAAUGGUUUAUGUUUCAAAUAAUUUAUUGCCGUAGGAUGGGACUGCGGCCUAUCAGUUUGUUGGUGAGGUAAUGGCCCACCAAGACUAUUACAGGUACGGGCUCUGAGAGGAGUAGCCCGGAGAUGGGUACUGAGACACGGACCCAGGCCCUAUGGGGCGCAGCAGGCGAGAAAACUUUGCAAUGUGCGAAAGCACGACAAGGUUAAUCCGAGUGGUUUCUGCUAAAGGAACCUUUUGUCAGUCCUAGAAACACUGAUGAAUAAGGGGUGGGCAAGUUCUGGUGUCAGCCGCCGCGGUAAAACCAGCACCUCAAGUGGUCAGGAUGAUUAUUGGGCCUAAAGCAUCCGUAGCCUGCUUUGUAAGUUUUCGGUUAAAUCCAUACGCUCAACGUAUGGGCUGCCGGGAAUACUGCAAAGCUAGGGAGUGGGAGAGGUAGACGGUACUCGGUAGGAAGGGGUAAAAUCCUUUGAUCUAUUGAUGACCACCUGUGGCGAAGGCGGUCUACCAGAACACGUCCGACGGUGAGGGAUGAAAGCUGGGGGAGCAAACCGGAUUA